rnacentral:rRNA from 1 species
UACGGAGGGUGCAAGCGUUAUCCGGAUUCACUGGGCGUAAAGGGUGCGUAGGUGGUGAAGUAAGUCGGAUGUGAAAUCACGGAGCUUAACUCCGAAACUGCAUUGGAAACUACUUUGCUCGAGGGUUGGAGGGGGGACUGGAAUUCUCGGUGUAGCAGUGAAAUGCGUAGAUAUCGAGAGGAACACCAGUGGCGAAGGCGAGUCCCUGGACAACUCCUGACACUGAGGCACGAAAGCUAGGGGAGCAAACAGG